AACGAACGCUGGCGGCAGGCUUAACACAUGCAAGUCGAACGCACCUUUCGGGGUGAGUGGCAGACGGGUGAGUAACGCGUGGGAAUCUACCCUUCUCUACGGGAUAGCUCCGGGAAACUGGAAUUAAUACCGUAUACGUCCUGAGGGAGAAAGAUUUAUCGGGGAAGGAUGAGCCCGCGUUGGAUUAGCUAGUUGGUGGGGUAAAGGCCUACCAAGGCGACGAUCCAUAGCUGGUCUAAGAGGAUGAUCAGCCACAUUGGGACUGAGACACGGCCCAAACUCCUACGGGAGGCAGCAGUGGGGAAUAUUGGACAAUGGGCGCAAGCCUGAUCCAGCCAUGCCGCGUGAGUGAUGAAGACCCUAGGGUUGUAAAGCUCUUUCAGUGGGGACGAUAAUGACGGUACCCACAGAAGAAGCCCCGGCUAACUUCGUG
rnacentral:rRNA from 1 species